UUGAUGGACAAGGCAUGGACACACAAGUAUGCCAGAAUUUUUCCUUGAUGUGAUGCAAAGUAUCCUACUUGUGGAGUUGACAGUCGAGCUAGGCAGCAUGACCGGCUGUGCUCGUUGGAUACUCAUGUAUAUGAGUAGCAAAGUCUGACAAAGAUCUCAUGUGUGAUGCAAGAUUGGGGUCCGCGGAUGCCCUCUGCAUAUGUUGUGGUCAAAUUGAGGUGACAACCGGGAAUGACAUCUCCAUCUUGAUAACAAGGAGGAUGAGAAGCUUUCUAGCACCUUGGUUAGCUCAAGUGAUGCUAUGGUUGCAAGCAACGAUCAACGAAGGUUUCAGGUUCCGAAGCCUGUCGUGUUGUAUAUGUAAUGUUCCGGGAUGGGAUAGUAUGGUAUUGCAGAAAACUUGCGCGCUAGCUGCUGAGCAUCAGUUUUGCCUUGACCACGUUUAUUUGAGGAAGUUCUGGUCGGUUGUUUGUUUGUGUGUCACACAUGGGUUUCAGCGGUGGUCUUUGUUGAAUUAUAUGUUUGAUGUGUAGGUUUUUAUUUAUGUCCAAAAAGAGGUGAGGUAUCGGUGAGAUGUGACUGGUUGGCUCUGUGCCACGAUGGUGGCAGAUUUUUCUGGUUGUCGGAUUUGGCUAGAGAUAAGCGGGAUUACUGGGAUGUCUAGGGAGUAGUGCGUACUUGCCAUUGAGAACACGGAGCGUUGAUUCGAGUGAAUCACAUAGUAAUUUUUUUAUUUUAGAAAUGCUUCUUGUUUCACUCUACUAUCAUGUGUAAAUCUAAUUUUGUCAGUUAGAUGCUUAAAUUCAAUAAUAUUCCCUGUCUCCUUGUGUUCUUCUUCUUCUUUUGGAGUCUUGACUGGUUGAUCAUAGCAUGUUCCUGCAUAUUUUUUAGAUUUUUUAAUCUUGAGAAAAUUUUUGGAGAGGGAUUGAGUAGGACCGUGUUAGUGUUAAUCCUCUUUCUUUUAUGUGCAUGGAAAUAUGUGUAUUCUUCAUGUCAGGUUUUGGAUGAAUAUUCCUGAAGAGUAUUUUUCUUGAUAUUUAUUUGAGUGUUUUUAUCUUCACAUUUUCUUAUUAUCCUGAUUGCAGGCUGACAAGAUUUGUCUUGAUUCCAUGGAUGUUCAAACACUUAGGAAGACAAUUUGUCAAGAAGUAUUAUGUUUUCCUAGCCUCAGAGGCUAUUAUCAAGCCUUCAACACCAAGUUUCUAUGGGCCAUCAACUUCCACCUCAAGCUCGUAGACAUUGGCAUCAAAAGGUUCCUCGAGCUGUGUUUGGAAUCAUGUUUAAUGUUUAGAACUAGCCAUGCUUGUACAUGUAAGGUCAAGAAUCAUAUGUAUGCCAUCGCCAAAAGUUGGAGGCAAUGGCAUGUACAGGAUACUUGGGCAUAGAUGUACUGCAACAGUAGUAGGAGAGAGACGUCGGCAGGGCAGUAUCGUGAGCAAGCAAAUUCAUGAGUGGCUCUAGGAUACCAAGGAUCAUAUUGUGGGAUCAACUGUUGGUGUUUAGAAGCUCGAUGAAUUGACCUUUGAAUUAACUGCGAAGCAAAGCCAAAGGACACCUCCAUGACGUUGCUCCAGUGCUCAUCGACAUCGGCACCCAAUGGCAAUGUUACUUCUUUUAGCCUACUGGGUGAUCUGCCACUUCUAAUAUGUCAUCAACCGUGGCGGAGGGGGCAUCGUCAACAACGUGCAGACACUGGUCCGACGACGCAGGAAAGCUGAUGGAUGGAGUUGAGCUGGCGAGCUUCUUCUUCGACCAAUGUGGAGCUUGUUUUUCUUGUUUGAUGUUGGCAAGUCUAGACGAUUUGUGUCUAUCAAGUGCCUUUGCCUUUGCCGUAGCGUAGUAUCGCACCUUAUUUAUAUUAAGCUGUUGCUUGCUCUCUGUGUGCCCCAACAAGUGUAGUAAUGGUAGUAGUAUUAGCACUCUCCGCAGCAAUUUUCAUCACAGUCUUUGCUUAGCUCUAGCUAUUGUUUUAUAAUUCAUGCAGUUUUGUAACUAUGUUUCAAAUGUGUGAUCAAUGAAACUCUGUAUUUGGGUUGUGCAUUUUUGUAUUGCCCAGUCGGACAAGAACGUGUAAAGCUAAAUUAAUACUUGUAUAUAUCACUUUUGACAAAACAAUUCAUCCACUUCUGAGCUUUAUCUUUAUUUUUCUGUUUA